UCUAUUGGGUGUUUUGUGUAACAUAAAAGUAUUAUGUGGAAGAACUUGAGCCCCCAUAGCAACCUGAAUAUUAAAUAUAAAUAAUGCAUUUUCCAAAUAUUUUAAGAUAAAAAUGAUUGGGAUUGCAAUAAUAAUAUUUGCUUCCUUCAAUCCAAUGGGUCUUCUUGCACACCCCUUGAAAUUGAUCUAUCUGCAGAUAGCACUGGUCAAAAGGGCUGAAUAUGCAAUGAUUUGAAAGGUUUUAAUGCAAAUAAUAUUAAUGAGGGAGAUAGAUAAUGACUAAAAUGUAAUUUAGUGUAAGAAUUACUAUCCAUAGGGAAAAGCAACUCCAAGUACCAGAUUAACAUUGUGACUUUUAUUGCAAACCAGGGCCACUUUUCCUGAAGGAAACCAUCAAGGUAGCCCUAGGCUACAAGGAGACAAGUUAUCUGAUUCCCAGAGAAGCCAGAGACUAGGUCAUUGGUAAUAAAAUUUCUAAUGUUUAUUGCCUGGAGAUAGAUUUUCAAAGAUGGCAUGAAGCCAAAAAUAAAUUACUUUUAAACAAAUCCCUGAACCUUUGCUCUCCAUGCCU
rnacentral:lncRNA from 1 species